rnacentral:rRNA from 1 species
CCCUAGCCCUUCAGAGGGGGACAACAGUUGGAAACGACUGCUAAUACCGCAUACGAUCUAACCUCGGCAUCGAGGAUAGAUGAAAGGUGGCCUCUAUUUAUAAGCUAUCACUGAAGGAGGGGAUUGCGUCUGAUUAGCUAGUUGGAGGGGUAACGGCCCACCAAGGCGAUGAUCAGUAGCCGGUCUGAGAGGAUGAACGGCCACAUUGGGACUGAGACACGGCCCAG